UUGCUACCACUAUACCUCUUUGAAACGGGGUUUAUUUUUCAAGCAUGACAGAAGCAUGCAAUUUUCUUCAAACUGAAUUUAUUUUCACCAACUCAAUAGAUCUUAAACCGAACUCUGUUUAAUAACUCUAAAUAUUCUCCUUCAUGUAUACAAGCUUCUCAGCUACAAGUUAUAGAGCUAUCUCUUAAUUUAUCACCUGAGAUCACCACAGUUGUACAUCUUAUUUCAUUUAUUUUCAAUUCAGUCAUGGAAAGCUUAUGCCAGAAGGUGAUCAAGGAUGAUCCUUUGAACUGGAAUACGACGGCAGAGACGAUGACCGGAAGCCAUCUUGAUGAAGUGAAGAGGAUGGUGGAGGAGUUCAGGAAGCCUGUUGUCAGGUUAGAAGGUGCCAACUUGAAGGUCUCUCAGGUAGCUGCAGUGGCUGCUGCUGCUGCUGCUGCUGCCAUUGAUGAUGAUGAUGAUGAUGAUGGAGUAGUAGUGAAGGUGGAGCUAUCAGAAGAGGCAAGGGCAAGGGUGAAAGCCAGCAGUGAUUGGGUUAUGAACAAUGAGGGUGUAAUCACUGGCUUUGGUGCAUCAUCUCACAGGAGAACCAAUCAGGCUACUGCUCUUCAGCAGGAGCUUAUCAGAUUUCUUAAUGCAGGAAUUUUCAGCACCGGGCAAGAGCCAAACAAUAUGAUGCCAAGUGCAGUAACAAGAGCUGCAAUGUUGGUUAGAAUCAACAGCCUUCUGCAAGGUUAUUCAGGCAUCCGUUUUGAAAUCUUAGAAGCAAUCACAAGACUUAUCAACACUAACAUCACACCAUGUUUGCCACUCAGAGGCAGCAUCACUGCUUCUGGUGAUCUCAUCCCUUUAUCCUACAUUGUCGGACUGCUAAUUGGCCGGCCUAACUCAAGAGCCAUUGGUCCUGAUGGCCGAACAAUUGAUGCUUCUAAGGCCUUUGAACUUGCUGGAAUCUCUAGUGGCUUUUUCGAGCUGCAACCGAAGGAAGGAAUCGCGCUUGUUAAUGGCACAACUGUUGCUUCUGGAUUAGCUUCCAUGGUCUUAUAUGAUGCUAACUUACUUGCAAUUCUUUCAGAAAUCAUUUCAGCUAUGUUUUGUGAAGUUAUGUUAGGAAAUCCAGAGUACACUGACCAUCUCAUUCAUAAAUUGAAACACAGUCCAGGCCAGAUUGAAGCAGCAGCCAUAAUGGAACAUAUAUUGGAAGGUAGCUCAUACAUGAAGAUCAAUCAAUUACUCCAAAAUCCCAAGAAAGACCGGUAUGCUCUUCGUACUUCUCCUCAAUGGGUCGGUCCUCAGAUUGAAGUCAUACGUGCAGCAACAAAAUCCAUUGAGAGGGAGAUCAACUCUGUGAAUGACAACCCAUUGAUUGAUGUCUCAAGAAAUAAGGUUCUCUUUGGUGGUAACUUUCAGGGGACACCAAUUGGUGUCUCAAUGGACAACACUCGUCUGGCUCUUGCUGCUAUUGGGAAGCUUAUGUUUGCUCAGUUUUCAGAGCUUGUUAAUGAUUUCUACAACAAUGGUUUACCUUCCAAUCUCUCAGGUGGAAGGAAUCCAAGCUUAGACUAUGGACUCAAAGGUGGUGAAAUUGCUAUGGCUUCGUACUGCUCGGAGCUUCAAGCUCUGGCCAACCCUGUCACUAAUCAUGUCGAGAGUGCAGAGCAACACAACCAAGAUGUCAACUCUUUGGGUUUGAUUUCUGCCAGGAAAACAGCAGAAGCAAUAGAGAUACUAAAGCUCAUGUCAUCCACUUUCUUAGUUGGUCUUUGUCAAGCCAUUGAUCUGAGGCAUUUGGAGGAAAAUUUCAAGAAAACUAUAAUGAGCACUGUGAGCCAAGUGGCUAAGAAAGUGGGUGUUGCUAAUGAAGAGAAGGAUUUAAUCAAAGUCAUUAACAAGGAACAUGUCUUCUCUUACAUAGAUGAUCCUUGCAAUAACUCCUACCCAUUGAUGCAAAAGCUAAGGCAAGUUCUUGUUGAGCAUGCAAUAAAAAACAUCAGUACUUGGGAGAAUGAAAAGAUUGUGCUUUUUGAAGAGGAGUUGAAACUGGUUUUACCAAAAGAAGCAGAAAGUACAAGGAUUGCUUUUGAGAAUGGAAACUUUGCUGUGAAUAAUAGGAUUAAGGAGUGUAGAUCUUACCCUCUUUACAGGUUUGUAAGGGAAGAACUCAAUACUGAACUUCUGACAGGUGAGAAUACAACAACAACAACAGCAACAACACCAGGGGAGGAUUUCAGCAAAGUUUUCAAUGCCAUCUCUAGUGGAAAGAUUAUAGACCCAUUGCUAGAAUGCUUGAAGGAUUGGAAUGGUGUUCCCAUGCCAUUGUGCUAGAAAGAAAUUAAGAAGAGUCUCCAAAUAGCUACUCUGUUUAUGACAAACAUUAUGACCUGAUUGAUGAGCUAGCUUGCGCCUACAUGGACAAGUGGGAUGCGAUGACCUAGGCGGGGUCAUUUUCGUAAUUUUUUCUAAAGGGGUAAUUUUGGUGUUCAGAGGACCCCAUUAGAUGGAAAACAGGUCAACAAGCAAAAGUCACGAGUUUGCUGCGAAAUUUUGCCGUUUAUGGAAAGAUUUCCUCCAUCGAUAUCUUAGGCUGUAGAUCUCUGAUUGAGACGUCGUUUUUGGUAUUCGCUAUGUUUGAUUUUUAAUUUUU